AUGAACGCUGGCGGCGCGCCUAACACAUGCAAGUCGAACGGUUAAAGCACCUUUUAGGUGUGUAUAAAGUGGCGAACGGCUGAGUAACACGUGGGCAACCUGCCCUCCUCUUGGGGAUAGCCUCGGGAAACCGAGGAUAAUACCCGAUACUUCAAUGUGGCCGCAUGACGACAUUGAGAAAGCUUUUGCGGAGAAGGAUGGGCCCGCGGCCUGUUAGCUUGUUGGUGGGGUAGAGGCCUACCAAGGCAAUGAUGGGUAGCUGGGUUGAGAGACCGACCAGCCAGAUUGGGACUGAGACACGGCCCAGACUCCUACGGGAGGCAGCAGUGGGGAAUCUUGCACAAUGGGGCGAAAGCCUGAUGCAGCGACGCCGCCGUGCGGGAAGAAGGCCUUCGGGUUGUAAAACCGCUUUCAGCAGGGACGAGGCGAAAGUGACGGUACCUGCAGAAGAAGCCCCGGCUAACUACGUGCCAGCAGCCGCGGUAAUACGUAGGGGGCAAGCGUUAUCCGGAUUCAUUGGGCGUAAAGCGCUCGUAGGCGGUCUGUUAGGUCGGGAGUUAAAUCCGGAGGCUCAACCUCCGCCCGCUCCCGAUACCGGCAGACUUGAGUUUGGUAGGGGAAGGUGGAAUUCCUAGUGUAGCGGUGGAAUGCGCAGAUAUUAGGAAGAACACCAGUGGCGAAGGCGGCCUUCUGGGCCAUAACUGACGCUGAGGAGCGAAAGCUAGGGGAGCAAACAGGAUUAGAUACCCUGGUAGUCCUAGCUGUAAACGAUGGACACUAGGUGUGGGAGAAUACGUCUUCCGUGCCGCAGCUAACGCAUUAAGUGUCCCGCCUGGGGAG
rnacentral:rRNA from 1 species